rnacentral:tRNA from 1 species
GAGGGUAUAGUAGAGCACAUGCUUAGCAUGCAUUAGGUCCUGGGUUCAAUCCCCAGCACCUUCA